rnacentral:tRNA from 1 species
CAGUUAAUAGUUUAUUAAAAAUUUAAUUUUUGGGGAAUUAUGAUGUGUUAACAACACUUUACUGA